GACCACACGUCCCUGGGGGAUCGGAGACCCUUGUGAUGCAUAAAUGUACCUUCUGGUUGCGCUGGUUUGGGGCACAGCAUGACGCCCUGCACUGCCUCCUCGCCCCAGCGACGGGAGAUGCAGCAGCCAGGGAGGCUCUCCUGAAUCCUCAUCCCUACGCGGGUAUUUUUAGGGCAAUAUUGGCUGUGGCACGAGAAAUACGAAAACGUCACAUUAACGAGGCUUUUCUACGCUCAAUGUAAUGGCUCAUCAUACACAGGGCAGGGGGGCUGCAGGGCUGGUGGUGGUCAGCCAGCAGGACCCCUCCUGGGGGCACACAUCCCGGCUGCUGACCUUGGAGGUGGUGGCGGGGGGACAGAGCUGAGCCUCACCCCAGGUAACGCCGCUCAGCGCCGCGCCGGGGGGUGAGGAUGCCAGCUGCCCCCCCAGCACUCUCCUUAUGCCUGCGGGAAAUGCCCACCCAUCGCCCCAUGGCAGGGUGUGUGCCUUCCCCAUGGAGGCCAGUGCAGGUCCCCAGUGCCUGGCCAGGGCAAAGGCACCUCUGCAGCUCCGAACCCUGACGUACUACUUGAGGCCCCUGGAGGGGCAAGCAGAGCUGGGGGCAGGCACUAGCUGUGUUUUACCCAGCUAUGACCCCAUGCUGCUGUGCAGACCAUCACCCCCAAGUUGUCCUGCCCUGGCUGAGUCCUGGCUCCAGCCCCUAAUCCUCACCAGGAGCACUAAGUGCCAGCAGCCCACGCAGCACACCCUGUUGCUAUUCCUGUCACCAGAGUUGUCAUGGGCUUUCCCUGAAGCUGCAUGAGUGAGCGCAUGAGGCUGGGCACCUCCAUCCUUCCACAGCCCCUGCCCAGUGCCAGGGAGGGUGCACAGACCCUGGGGUCACCCUACACCACAGGGAAGCCAGGGAUGAUGGGGCUGCAGGGCUUGAAUGGGUGCUAGCCCCUACUCCAGCAGGUAUCCAUCUCAAGGGAGGCAGGGCAUCAAGCUGGCACAGAGACUGUAACCCUGAGCUGGUGCAUGUGGAAGGCACUAGCAGAUGAAAUAUCAGAGCACACACUCCCGGCACACACAAGAGGCCAGAGCAGUGCAGGAGCAGCCACAGAAGCCUGAGCCCAGCCUUGCUGCAGCUCCCGUGCUGCCACUAUCCAUGCCAGCAGUGCAGCAGCCCAUGAUCCUGCCCUCUGUGGCAGAGCAAGGCUGGCUGGGGCUGCUGCUCCAGAAGAGCUCUGGAAGACCCCUUCCCAUUUCACAGGGUUCCUGACCCUGGAAAUGGUGUGCAGUAGAGCCCCACUGAGCUGCUUUCUUUAUUUCUUUGCCAAGGGGCUAGUAGCACCGCUGUCUCCCUUCUCCAAUGUCUGCCAGGAGGAGGGAAGACAAAUGCAUCAGCCCUCUGCUGCUGCCAAAUGCCUUCUGGCUCCCAGACACUGGGAUCAAAUGCCGUGGGAAGUGAGCACAUCAAACAUCAGACCGAACGAUGGCAGGGCAGGCACAGGCCCGUGCCAGGCACUGGGCCCAUUUUUUCCACAUCCAGCAAUGUUCCUCAGACCUCUUAAGCUACUUUGGCUGAGUGUCAGGAGGUGGGGGCUGGUGGUGAGGGAGGAGCAAGUGAGCCACCCACAAAUGACAUAGUCCAGUCCCACACAAAAUUCAUAUUUAAAAAAAAAAAAACCUAAAAAACCCUUUUAUUUGACAACAGAAGAACAAACA